rnacentral:rRNA from 1 species
GGCUUAACACAUGCAAGUCGGGCGGUAACAGGGAGUAGCUUGCUACUCUGCUGACGAGCGGCGGACGGGUGAGUAAUGUCUGGGAAACUGCCUGAUGGAGGGGGAUAACUACUGGAAACGGUAGCUAAUACCGCAUAAUGUCGCAAGACCAAAGAGGGGGACCUUCGGGCCUCUUGCCAUCGGAUGUGCCCAGAUGGGAUUAGCUGGUAGGUGAGGUAAUGGCUCACCUAGGCGACGAUCCCUAGCUGGUCUGAGAGGAUGACCAGCCACACUGGAACUGAGACACGGUCCAGACUCCUACGGGAGGCAGCAGUGGGGAAUAUUGCACAAUGGGCGCAAGCCUGAUGCAGCCAUGCCGCGUGUAUGAAGAAGGCCUUCGGGUUGUAAAGUAC